rnacentral:rRNA from 1 species
UACGAAGGGGGCUAGCGUUGCUCGGAAUCACUGGGCGUAAAGGGUGCGUAGGCGGGUCUUUAAGUCAGGGGUGAAAUCCUGGAGCUCAACUCCAGAACUGCCUUUGAUACUGAGGAUCUUGAGUUCGGGAGAGGUGAGUGGAACUGCGAGUGUAGAGGUGAAAUUCGUAGAUAUUGGGAGGAACACCAGUGGCGAAGGCGGCUCACUGGACCGGUUCUGACGCUGAUGCGCGAAAGCGUGGGGAGCAAACGGG